rnacentral:rRNA from 1 species
CCUACGGGUGGCAGCAGUGAGGAAUAUUGGUCAAUGGGCGAGAGCCUGAACCAGCCAAGUCGCGUGAGGGAGUACUGCCCUAUGGGUUGUAAACUUCUUUUAUAUGGGAAUAAAAUGUUCCACGUGUGGGAUUUUGUAUGUACCAUAUGAAUAAGGAUCGGCUAACUCCGUGCCAGCAGCCGCGGUAAUACGGAGGAUCCGAGCGUUAUCCGGAUUUAUUGGGUUUAAAGGGAGCGUAGGUGGAUUGUUAAGUCAGUUGUGAAAGUUUGCGGCUCAACCGUAAAAUUGCAGUUGAAACUGGCAGUCUUGAGUACAGGAGAGGUGGGCGGAAUUCGUGGUGUAGCGGUGAAAUGCUUAGAUAUCACGAAGAACUCCGAUUGCGAAGGCAGCUCACUGGACUGCAACUGACACUGAGGCUCGAAAGUGUGGGUAUCAAACAGGAUUAGAUACCCUGGUAGUC